GAAAGUAAACAAGGGCGCAUGGAGGAUGCCUAGGCUCUCGGAGGCGAAGAAGGACGUGAUAAGCUGCGAAAAGUUACGGUAAGGCGCAAAUAGCCCUAGACCCGUAAAUAUCCGAAUGGGGCAACCCGGCCAGCAAUGGCCAUACCGCCAAGCGGUAAGCCAACGCGGGGAACUGAAACAUCUAAGUACCCGCAGGAAAAGAAAAUAACAAUGAUUCCGCCAGUAGUGGCGAGCGAACGCGGAACAGCCCAAACCACUCGUGUUACGGCACGGGUGGGGUAGAAGGAUCCACGAUACGGCAAGAAAUAAGUUAGCGGAAUACGAUGGAAAUCGUAGCCAAAGACGGUGACAGCCCGGUACGCGAAAACGGACAGAAGCCCAGUGGACACCUGAGUAACCCAGGACACGAGAAAUCCGGGGCGAAUCAGCGGGGCCCAUCCCGUAAGGCUAAAUACUCCCGAGAGACCGAUAGCGAACCAGUACUGUGAAGGAAAGGUGAAAAGAACCUCGAACAGAGGAGUGAAAAAGACCCUGAAACCAUGCGCCUACAAGCGGUCGGAGCAUGUUAAAAUGUGACGGCGUGCCUUUUGCAUAAUGAACCUACGAGUUACUCUCGCUGGCAAGGUUAAGCGAUUCAGUCGCGCAGCCGAAGCGAAAGCAAGUCCGAACAAGGCGUACAGUCAGCGGGAGUAGACGCGAAACCAAGUGAUCUACCCUUGGUCAGGUUGAAGGUUGGGUAACACCAACUGGAGGACCGCACCGAUAAGCGUUGAAAAGCUUACGGAUGAACUGAGGGUAGGAGUGAAAGGCCAAUCAAACUUGGAGAUAGCUCGUACUCCCCGAAAUGCAUUUAGGUGCAGCCUCGAAGCAGAGUGAUAGAGGUAGAGCGACUGAUAAGAUGCGAGGGCUUCACCGCCUAUCAAGUCUUGACAAACUCCGAAUACUAUCACUUGAUCUUUGGGAGUGAGGGCAUGGGUGCUAAGGUCCAUGUCCGAAAGAGGAACAACUCAGACCACCGGCUAAGGUCCCGAAAUAAGGGCUAAGUUGAACAAACGAAGUAAAACUGCAAAGACAGCUAGGAUGUUGGCUUGGAAGCAGCCAUUCAUUUAAAGAGUGCGUAACAGCUCACUAGUCGAGGAGUUUUGCAUGGAUAAUAAUCGGGCAUAAGCCCUUUACCGAAGCUGUGGAUGUCGUAAGACAUGGUAGGGGAGCAUUCCGGCGGCGACGAAGGCCGUCCUCGAGGACGACUGGAGCUUUCGGAAAAGCAAAUGUAGGUAUAAGUAACGAUAAAGGGGGCGCGAAACCCCCUCGCCAUAAGACUAAGGAUUCCUGAUCAACGCUAAUCGGAUCAGGGUAAGUCGGGCCCUAAGGCGCAGCCGAACGGCGCAGCCGAUGGAAGAAACGGUAAAAAUUCCGUUACUGGAUAUAGGAGCGAUGUGGAGACGGAGAAGUGACACACCCGCCUGCCGACGGAAGCGCAGGUUAAAGGAAGUAGGUAAACGCCGGGCAGGCAAAUCCGCCUGGCGUGCCGAAGCUGACAGUAUCGAGAGCCCCCGGGCAAUCGAAUAGCGGUGGUAAUCAGGCUCCCAAGAAAAUCCGCUAAGCAUAUUCUAUAUUCACCCGUACCCCAAACGGACACACGUAGUCGGGUAGAAUAUACCAAGGCGCUCGAAAGACUCACGGUUAAGGAACUAGGCAAAUUGACCCUGUAACCUCGGGAAAAAGGGUCCCCAGUAAGAUGGGGCGCAGAGAAUAGGUCCAGGCAACUGUUUAACAAAAACACAGGGCUGUGCAAAAUUUCAAGAUGAAGUAUACAGCCUGACACCUGCCCGGUGCCGGAAGGUUAAGAGGAGAGCUUAUCGCAAGAGAAGGCUUGAAUUGAAGCCCCGGUAAACGGCGGCCGUAACUAUAACGGUCCUAAGGUAGCGAAAUUCCUUGUCGGGUAAGUUC
rnacentral:rRNA from 1 species